rnacentral:rRNA from 1 species
UACGUAGGGGGCUAGCGUUGUCCGGAUUUAUUGGGCGUAAAGAGCGUGUAGGCGGCCAGGUAGGUCUGCUGUGAAAACUCGAGGCUCAACCUCGAGACGCCGAUGGAAACCAUUUGGCUAGAGUCCGGAAGAGGAGAGUGGAAUUCCUGGUGUAGCGGUGAAAUGCGUAGAUAUCGGGAGGAACACCAGUGGCGAAGGCGGCCGUCUGGACGGAUACUGACGCUGAGACGCGAAAGCGUGGGUAGCAAACAGG